rnacentral:rRNA from 1 species
UACGUAGGAGGCAAGCGUUGUCCGGAGUUACUGGGCGUAAAGCGCACGCAGGCGGUUCAGUCAGUCUGUAGGGACAGGGCACAGCUCAACUGUGUCAGGCUUACGGAAACUGCUGAACUUGAGGGCUUCAGAGGGAUGGGGAAUUCCGGGUGGAGUGGUGAAAUGCGUAGAGAUCCGGAAGAACACCAAAGGCGAAGGCACCAUCCUGGGGAGUACCUGACGCUCAGGUGCGAAAGCCAGGGGAGUGAACGGG